rnacentral:rRNA from 1 species
UACAGAGGUCCCAAGCGUUGUUCGGAUUCACUGGGCGUAAAGGGUGCGUAGGCGGUCGGGUAAGUCUGUCGUGAAAUCUCCGAGCCCAACUCGGAAACUGCGUCGGAUACUAUUCGGCUAGAGGAAUGGAGGGGAGACUGGAAUUCUCGGUGUAGCAGUGAAAUGCGUAGAUAUCGAGAGGAACACCAGUGGCGAAGGCGAGUCUCUGGACAUUUCCUGACGCUGAGGCACGAAAGCCAGGGGAGCAAACGGG